UACGUAGGGUGCGAGCGUUAAUCGGAAUUACUGGGCGUAAAGCGUGCGCAGGCGGUUUUGCAAGCCGGAUGUGAAAUCCCCGGGCUCAACCUGGGAAUGGCAUUCGGGACUGCAAGGCUGGAGUGCGGCAGAGGAGACUGGAAUUCCUGGUGUAGCAGUGAAAUGCGUAGAUAUCAGGAGGAAUACCGAUGGCGAAGGCAGGUCUCUGGGCCGGAACUGACGCUGAGGAGCGAAAGCGUGGGGAGCAAACAGG
rnacentral:rRNA from 1 species